rnacentral:rRNA from 1 species
ACGGGUGAGUAAUGCAUCGGGAUCUACCCUGACGUGGGGGAUAACCUCGGGAAACCGGGACUAAUACCGCAUACGUCCUACGGGAGAAAGCGGGGGACCUUUUAGGUAUCGCGCGGCAGGACGAACCGAUGUGCGAUUAGCUAGUUGGCGGGGUAAUGGCCCACCAAGGCGACGAUCGCUAGCUGGUCUGAGAGGAUGAUCAGCCACACUGGGACUGAGACACGGCCCAGACUCCUACGGGAGGCAGCAGUGGGGAAUAUUGGACAAUGGGCGCAAGCCUGAUCCAGCAAUGCCGGGUGAGUGAAGAAGGCCUUCGGGUUGUAAAGCACUUUUAUCAGGAGCGAAAUGUGCAUGCUUAAUACGUGUGCAGUCUGACGGUACCUGAGAAAGCCCCAGUCGCCAACUUCAUGCCAGCAGCCGCGGUAAUACGAAGGGUGCAAGCGUUAAUCGGAAUUACUGGGC